rnacentral:misc_RNA from 1 species
AAGUCGUAACAAGGUUUCCGUAGGUGAACCUGCGGAAGGAUCAUUAUCGUAGGGGGCUCUGCCCCGAUAAGAUACCCCUGUCUAUGAGUACUCUUGUUUCCUCGGCAAGCCUGCUUGCCAAUGAGGACCCCAUCAACCCUUUUUAUAUUAUGGUAACCGUACUAAACAAAUAAUCAAAACUUUCAACAACGGAUCUCUUGGUUCUG